rnacentral:lncRNA from 1 species
UGUCUUUUCACAUCACCGACCUAACCAUUAAUGAUAGCAGGUUUUCAAUAAUGACUUUUAAUUUUUUCUACUACCUCUUCUCAAAAGCUUUCAUUUUCCCUUUCAUUCAAUCCGGAUACCUUGGCCGAAAAUUCUCCAGUGCUUGACGAACACAUUCUGGAAUUCUUCCCACCAAGUAAUAACUUUCUCUCUUCUUUAGGGCCUCAUUUGCAAUAACAUGGGCGUAUAUAUUCCCUGUUUUAGAGACAAAAUGAAACUCAAUCUCCUGAAAUUUGUCUUUUUUGCUUUGUAUAUCUUUGGUAAUUGCUCCAAUGGCCGAUUUACCUAUAUCAGUACUUUGGCAUUUCUUUAUAACAGUUUUUGAAUCUCCCACUACUUCCAUUUUGUUAAAGCCCAUAAAAAUUCCUAAUUUCAUUGCCUGUAACCCUACAUGUGCCUCUGCCGUGAACAGAGUUGCUAUCUCGGAGUGAAAAACCGUCUUUGAUGCUAGGAUCUCCCCCACUUCAUUUCGUACAACCAGGCCUGUAGUUGAUCUGGAAGAUUGAUGGUCAAAGGCUGCGUCAAAAAGAACUGUGACCCUUGUUCUUUGAUAAUCCUGUUGAAUAUUUCCAUCAGACUGAAGGGUGAGUUUUUUUUCUCUUUUGUUGCAUCCAACUCUAUGAUAUAACUUUGAACUUGCUUAGAUAUUUCUCUUCUUUUCACAUUUUUUCUUUCAUAUAACAAAUGAUUUCUGUUGGACCAGAUUAACCAGAGUCCACAGCAGAAUAAUCGGACCUGUUCAUUAGUCUCCUUACAGAAGACCCAGGUAAGCCAUUCCCACAUAUUUUGAGUAUUUUUAUUUAGUACCCAUGAUAGAUUGAAAUGAUUCCAAACCUCAACCAUUGUAGGGCACUAUUGAAAAAUAUGGCUACUGUCUUCCUCAUUUUGACGACAUUGAGGGCACUGAUCUUCCACCACGACUCUUUUAUGUCUGAGGUUAACAAGGGACAAAAUAAAGUUCCAAGAGAUUCUCCAUACUGUAAUUAUAAUUUUUGAGGGGAUGUAUAAUUUCCAUAGUUUCCUAUAGAAAUUUUUAGUUCGGCGUGUAAACUAUAACUACUAGGAUCCAAGUUAGUCUCCUGUAAUAGUUUAUAGGUGCUCCUGACUUAGAAAUCCCUGGACAGUUCCCUUCUCCAUACUUGAAAAUCUUCAUGUGCUGUCUCCGCCAGUGGAAUCUGCAAGAUUUUUUUGCUACAUCCAAUCGAAAGGUAUUCAUAACUACCUUUAUUUUCCAGCUCCUAUUGGUGGCCUCUAUUAAAUCCGAAAUAAACUUAAUAUUUUCAUUGUUGUCUUGAUUUUGUAAAUGUCUGCUUUAUUUCCUAAAAUCCACAAAUCAUUCCAAACAGAAAUUUUAUCACCUCUUUCUACCCUCUAGCAUAAACCUUUCUCCAGAAGCCCUCUUGCUGCCCAGACACUCUUCCAAGUAAGCGAAGGUAAAUUUCCUAACCGAGCAUUAUAGAAUUCCAAAUUAGGAUAAUAUUUUACCUUUAGAACACGGGCUAAUAAUGAAUUUGGAUAGUUUAUAAGACGCCAUCCCUACUUUGCUCAUAACGCUAUAUUAAAUUUUGCAAGAUUUUAAAAACCAAGACUACCGUCUUCUUUUAAUAAGCAUAAUUCCUUCCAAGCACACCAAUGAAUGCCCUUCCUAUCGCGACUUCUUUGCCACAAAAAAUAAGCUAUUAUACACUCCAAAUCAGCACAUAGAGACUUAGGAAGUAGAAAGCAAGCCAUCGUAUAAGUUGGGAUGGAUUGGAGUAUAGCCUUUACGAAAACUUCUUUACCUUAUUAAGAGAGAUGCCUUAUGCUCCAGUUAUUAAUUCGUUGUUUAUAUCUGUCCUUCAAAGCUUGAAAUGUUGAUCUCUUCCUUCUUCCCACCAUAUUAGGGAGCCCUAGAUAUCGUUCUGGAUUAGUUGAUCUUCUUACUCUGAGUAUACUUGAAACUCCUGCCAUUUCUCCAUCUUGUGUGUUUGUGCUGAAAAGUACUGUCGAUUUAUCAUAAUUAACACAUUGGCUUGAACAAAUCUCAUAUUCUUUCAAAAUCUAUUUUAAUGAAUGUGUUCUCCUUUCAGUAGCUUCUGCAAAUAAAAUGCAAAUGUCUGCAAAGAGUAAAUGUGAGAUAGCUAUGCCACUUCGACUUGUUUUUACUCCUUUAAGUAUAUCUCCUUCUAUUGCGGGCUUCAUAAAACUAGAGAGACCUUCCCCACAAAAUAAGAACAAAAUCAGACUUAAAGGAUCUCAUUGUCUAAAACCUCUAGUUGGAUGAAAAGUUUCCCCUAUGUUUCCAUUGAAAACCACUAAAUAUGAUACUGUAGACCCACAUUUCAUUAUCGAGUCAACCCAUGCUGGAUUAAAUCCCAUUUUCUUCAUUAUCCCUUCCACAAAAUUCCAUUCGACUCUAUCGUAUGCCUUACUUAUAUCUAGUUUCACCGUCAUAAGUCCGUUUUUCCCCAUCUUCUUAUGUUUUAAAGUGUGUAAGAUUUCAUAAGCCAGUAAUAUAUUAUCAAAAAUCAGCCUUCUUGGUACAAAAGCACUUUGUGCUACAUCUAUACAUUUAUUAAUCACUACCCGAAGCCGAAUAUCUAUGACCUUAGCUAUCAAUUUAUAAAGCACAUUGCAUAAGCUAAUUGGUCUAAAUUGAGUAAUAUUAGAAGGAUUAAGAAUUUUUGGGAUUAGCACGAUAUUUGUUUUGUUGAUCGAGCGUAUUUCUAUACCUUCAUUCAGUCCUUGAAGGCAAAAAGUUGAAACAUCCUCUCCAAUGAUCGACCAACAUUUUUGACAAAAUAAAGUUGGAAAACCGUCAUUUCCUGGUGCUUUUGUAGGGCCUAGUUUUGAUAAAGCUUAUCGUAUCUCCUCUUAAGUGUAGCUUGCUUUUAAUCUAUAAUUAUCAUCCUCAGAAAUACAACAAUCAACUCCUAACAAUAUUUGAUCAUAAUUUCCUUGCCUUUCUACUGAAAAUAACUUCUAAAAAUACGAUCUUACGAUUUCUUCCAUCUCCUCGACCUCUUUCGUCUCCCUGCCAUCUUCGAAUUACAUUUUAUGGAUAAAAUUCCUCUUCUUUCUUUGCGUUGCUUGCUUAUGGAAAAACGCGGUAUUUUUUCUCCAAACUUUAGCCAAUUUAUUCGAGCCUUCUUUUCCUAAUAACAUUCGUCCUUCUCUAUCUCAAAAUUCAAUUGGAUCUUUGUAUUUAAAAGCUCUGCCAAAUUUUCUUCACUUCUAUCAUAUUCCAGUAACGUUGUUAGUUUUGAAGUUAGUAUCUCUUUUUUCAUUUUUCUACUUCGUUGAAUUUGGCUUGCCUAUCUCUCUAAGCCCCUCUUCAUAUAUUUUAGCUUGCUCAAAAGAUCUCCUAUGGAAUUUUCCCAAAUACACCUAAACUCCUCAAUAAGCAUUACCUUCAAAACCCACCAAGCUUCAAACUUAAAAUUUUUAUUAAUCUGCUCUAGCUUUGCACUCUGUAUUAAUGAGUAAUGGACAAUGAUCUGAGAAGGAGUGAGGUAGGUUGUAACAGCCCGAUUUUGGGCCUAAAAUAGUGGUUUUGAAACCACUAAUCCAAGGCCAGAGAAAUUAUUUUUAAUAGUAUUUUAUGUGUUAUAGCACGUUUACAUGGAUGCAUAAAAAUUUUGAUGAAUUAAUUUAAGCGAUUGUGAGCUUAAUUGCGAAAAAGGACUAAAUCGCAUAAAGGACAAAAGUUUUGUUUUUCUAACAAAUGGUGUUAAAUAAUUAGAGAAUCAUAAUUAGGGGUCUUUAAAGGGAAAAUAGACCCAUUUCAAUAGGGGUGGCCGGCCAUAGGGACAAAGAAGAAUAGAAAAUUCAAAAUUAGGUGAAGUUGGUAACCUAUUUUGACUAGAAAUAAGAUAAAAUAAAAUAAAAGGGCUUCAUCUUUUUACCAUUCAUCCUCUCCACCAAAAAUAUCAGUAAGAAAGGGUUUUUUGAAGCUUGAAACUUUCAGCCAUUAAGUUCUCUCAUAAGUAAGUCAUUUUGAUGACUUUUCUUGAUAAUUUUUGUAUUUUUGGGACCCUUGUAGAUUAAUCUAGCUAAUGGGGGGAUUAUUUUGCAAUAUGGUUGAGAGUUUAGGGUUUUGCCAUGAAAGAAUUUAUGUUAUGAGCUGAAACUUUAUGGAAGGAAAUGAGUUAUAGUUAUGAAAUAAAUAACUCUUGUGAAGUGGUGUUCAUGAAAAACAUCUAAAGUGAACCUUUUUGUAAAGGUUAUAAAAUAGGUAGUAAUUGUGUGAAAGAAUCGAAAUUGGGAGAUGCCAUAAGUUUAAUAAAGGUUCAGCUAGGCUUGGUUAAAUAGGAAAUUUGAUAAAAAUUAAUUUACGAGCCUAAGGGUAAAAUCAUAAUUUUGUGAAAGUCUAGGGGCAGAGUGGUUAAUUUGCCAAAAUAUGAAUUAUGAAAUGCAUUGAUUAAUAUGAUGAUUAAAUCAGUGAAUUUUUAUCAUUUUAGAUCAAGAAAUACAAAAUCCGGGGCUAGACCGGGGGAAGGCCAAGCUAGUAGACUAAAUCCAACUAGUCACCCACUUUUUGUAUACCGAGGUAAGUUGCAUGCAAAUAUUACAACUCUAUUGUUAUUAUGCAUUAAAUUAUCAAUAUUACAUGAAAUGCUCGAUUUUGUUACGAAUAUACAUGACGAAAUUUGAUGUGGUGAGACUCCCUGUUGAACCGUAAGAAUAGAUCGGAUAUCUAUGCCAUGAUACUAGGGUUAUGUGAGCCAGUGUAAGCCAUGUUUGGAAUAUGGCAUCGGCAUUGAUAUGAGAGCUAAUGUAAGACUAUGUAUGGGACAUGGUAUCGGCCUCGAUAUGUGAGCCAGUGUAAGACCAUGUUUGGAACAUGGCAUCGACAUUGAUAUGAGAGCUAGUGUAAGACCAUGUCUGGGACAUGGCAUUGGCCUUGACAUGUGAGCUAGUGUAAGACCAUGUUUGGAACAUGGCAUGGCAUUGAUAUAUGAGAGCCAGUGUAAGACCAUGUCUGGGACAUGGCAUCGACAUCUUACCCUUUUGUAUGAGGCUUAUCGGGUAUCCAUUUACUAUUCCAACCAGUUCAACGAGUAAUUUAAAGAUUACAUCAUGAUUGAGAAAAGUUAAGAUUACGUUGCAAGUGAUACAAAUACUUAUAUGAAACUCAUGAGAAUGAGCUCGAGUUAUGUAUAUGAAUAGUAAGGAUGAAAUGAGUAAUUUAUGUCUAUGGUCAUUCAAGAAACUUGUGCAAGUGUAUGAUGUGUUAUGAGUAUGAUGUUACUUGGUAAAGCAAUGUUAAUUAUUUACUUGUAACUUACUAAGCGUUAUGCUUAUUCCCUCUCUUUUCUAUUUUCUUAUAGUGCCUCCAAGCUAGCAUCGGGAAUCAAGGGACGUCAGACGCAUUAGUCACAUUAUCACCUGAAGCUUUUGGUAUAGUUAGUUUAAAUGUUUUGAGUGUGGCAAGUAAAGGGACUUAUUCUUUUUGUUUAGUGUCAUUUAGUUUAGCCACAAGUGUUGGCUUAUAUGGAUGUGAUAUUCAUUUUGUAUAGGCCAUUGAUAUUGGCUAAUAUUGAUUACUAUUAAAUCUAUUUGAUGAAAAUUCUCAUGGAUGUGGAUGUUUCGUUGUGGCUGUUUUGGUUAUGUGUGUUUAUGCUUGGAUUGGAGAUGUUUGAUGUUUUGUAGGUUGGUGCAAGUAAGGGUAGCAAAAAGGCUAGGUAGAUAGCCUUGUUUUUGUCCACGUGGGUAGACACUAAACUGUGUGUGACACACGGUUUGCCCCAUAGGCGUGUAGUCAGGCCGUUUGUCCCCUGCACCUAAAUUUUGCAAAACAAAAUGCCCAGUAAUAACCACACGGGCAAAGACAUGGCCAUGUGUCCCAAUCGUGUGGAGGACAUAGCCUAGUACAUGGGCGUG